AAUGAAGCUCACGGCUGUGGAGGUCUAGAGAGUGGAGAGAGAGAGGGAGAGAGAGAGAGAGAGAGAGAGAGAGAGAGAGAGAGAGAGAGAGAGGGAGGGGUUACAACUCAGGCGGCUGCACGGAAAAAUGUCUACCUUAAUCGUUCAUUCCCACGUUUGCUCUAAAACAGAUUCGAUUUUUUUUAAAUUUUAUAGUUGGAUUUUAAAAGAAACGUAAAUUAGGCGAGCGUUUCUUCCUUUACUCCAAAUCACCCAUACGCACGAUUCGAGCACAACAGAACAAGACCGUCUCCUACUGACACUUGACUUGAAAAAAGUCUCGCGGCAAAGCUAUAAUAAGAACAGUUUAAUAUCACGGGGUCCACGUGGAGAACGUGGGCUCUGGGCAGGAGACGAUCGUUAAACCCCGGUCUGUCUUUGGAUGCAACUUAACCACAACAAACCUGAGGAGCUCGUGCGUUUCCUGUGGGAACCCAGCGUCCGCUGGCGUGGACGCACAGCGCCCCCCCGCGGGUCGCUCCGCGUCGAUAUAAAGGAGCGUUUCCACCGAGCCUCUAUUAAAACUACGUUCUCACCGGCUACGUCGCUUUUAAAACAUAUCGAAAGCGCACAGAUGGACGCGCGGGGACACCUUUUAUCAGAACUAACCAGUUUUAAAAUGUCCUUGAAGCGUUUCAGUCAGUCGGCUGAGAGUUUUCCUGCUGGACCACAGUUCCACAGUUUUCUCUUUCUCUUCCUCGGACGGGGCGAAGGAAAAAGGGGGAUCUGUCACGACCGAGCGUUUACAGCGCGUUCUCCCCCAGCGUCUCUGGCUCCACGGCUCUUCUCUCAAAACAGCUGGGAACGAAGUUAAUGAAAAUGGCCAAAAUGACCCAAAGUUCUCUUUGAGUCAUUUUAUUGAGUAUAGUUCACUUUACACAAAAUGUAGAUUAAUCACAAAACACAGACGUGGGACUUUUAUAUCGGUAAUAAUUAAAUAAGCGGAAACAGCCGUUUGGUCAUUAAACAAAGUAAACCAAAUCUAAGCAGAUAUGAUAUAUUUCUGUGGUAUUAAUACAAUGUAAUAGAUUUGGUUUAUUGGAAUACGUUUAGGUCAGGAGAGAAAGUUAAUUAUUAAUUAGGCUGAAUAUUAAAUGUUGGAGAUCAGAGAAAACGCCUCUCUUCAAAUAAUAUUAUUAUUCCCAGACCACUUCUUUUACACCACAUCCUGUAAAGAUGCAAAGCACAGCACUCGUGUGAAUUCUGAGCGGAAACGAGCCGGCUGUUCUUCAGGUGCGUAGAGAGACGUAGACCUGUGAAGUGUCGGCUGCAGCGUUGGUGAAGUUGAAAGGUGAUGGGAUGUUAUUUCCUGUGAGGCGCAAUGAGACAGACGCUCUGCUUUGUGUCUGGUGUCAGAGUUCCCACCGAGGGCCGUCUGGAAAAAAGACUUGAAAUUCUGUCAUUUGGCAAAUUUAAAUAUUAAACUACCACACUGAUGAAGGACAAGGUUGGAGUUAUGCUGAAUAAAAAAAAUAAAUAAAUACAAUUUGACUUAAACUAUUAUAAAAUAUUGUGAAAGUUCGAACUUCUGGACGUCUUUGCAAACAGGCCAGAGUGUGUUUGCUUCAUGUUUAUUAUGUAUAAUAUAAGUUUAGUGUGACCACAAAGCUAAAACCUUUGGGUACAAAAGUUAAAGCAAUCUUCUAAAUAAUUAAUUAUGGAUUUUACUGUUGACAUUAAAUCUCUGCAUUUUAAUUAGCAACCUGUAAAACGUGUGGAAAUAUCAUAUUCACAAGCUGAGACGAACGCUGAAGAAAAUAAAUAAUGAUUGACACCGA